GAUGAAGAACGUAGCGAAAUGCGAUACGUAAUGUGAAUUGCAAAUUCAGUGAAUCAUCGAGUCUUUGAACGCACAUUGCGCCCCCUGGUAUUCCGGGGGGCAUGCCUGUCCGAGCGUCAUUGCUGCCCUCAAGCACGGCUUGUGGGUUGGGCCCCGUCCUCCGAUCCCGGGGGACGGGCCCGAAAGGCAGCGGCGGCACCGCGUCCGGUCCUCGAGCGUAUGGGGCUUUGUCACCCGCUCUGUAGGCCCGGCCGGCGCUUGCCGAUCAACCCAAAUUUUUAUCCAGGUUGACCUCGGAUCAGGUAGGGAUACCCGCUGAACUUAAGCAUAUCAAUAAGCGGAGGA
rnacentral:misc_RNA from 1 species